rnacentral:tRNA from 1 species
AGCAGCGUGGCUCAGUGGAAAGAGCCCGGGCUUGGCAGUCAGAAGUCAUGGGUUCGAAUCCCAGCUCUGCCA